rnacentral:rRNA from 1 species
GACAGAGGGUGCAACCGUUGUUCGGAAUUACUGGGCAUAAAGCGCACGUAGGUGGUCCGCUAAGUCGCGUGUGAAAUCCCUCGGCUCAACCGAGGAAUUGCCUUUGAUACUGGCUGUCUUGAGUUCGGGAGAGGUGAGUGGAAUGCCGAGUGUAGAGGUGAAAUUCGUAGAUAUUCGGCGGAACACCAGUGGCGAAGGCGACUCACUGGCCCGAUACUGACGCUGAGGCGCGAAAGCGUGGGGAGCAAACAGG